rnacentral:lncRNA from 1 species
UUAUUUCAAGGUCAAAUAGAAGAACUGCACUCACAUUAACUCAGAAGCAAGAUGUGUUUUUUUCUGAAGUUCAGUCAUAUAUGAGUAUUUGACAUAAAAUUCAUAAAGAUGAAACUGGUGAGAUUUUCAAAACUACAUAAAUGCCUUUAAUCUGCAGCUUCAGAAAUAUAUAUUCAAGUUGCUGUCUCCAGGGUACCAGCUAUCCUUAUGCAUGCUCUCAUGGCAACGAGUCACUGUCUUUUCCCUGUGCAGCUACGUUCUACAACAUGUUUGCAGUAUGCUGAACUGAAACCAGCUCUCUUCUACAGACUUUUCUGUGCAACUAUGAGAUCUAGAAAUGCACUUCAUUUUUCAAUAAAAGCAAAGUACCACAGGAUCAGGG